AUGUACCAGGGAUGGACAAACCAGGCAGCCUUAGCAAAUGGGCAAAGAAAAAGAAUGUGCUUUUCAUCUUCUUCCACUCCACACCUGGAGCAAAAUUUACUUAUUUGGGCUGUGUAUUUACCUGCUCUUAUACUUGUUGGAAGGGCUUUUCUGAUAAGUCUCCAUGCAAAUGUUUGUAUCCUUGGAGCUAUAUCUUUUGUUUUCCAAAUUUGUUUCAAUAGCUCUCUUCAGUUGGCUGUAAUGAUUGUGGGUUGUGGUUCUCCUUCUUCCUGCAAAACCUGCAAACAGAGCUUGUAUGCACUUUUAGUUGUAAAUUUCCCUGAAGGGUGA
rnacentral:rRNA from 1 species